GCCCAGGUGGCGAAAUUGGUAGACGCAAGGGACUUAAAAUCCCUCGGGAAUCAAAUCCCAUACCGGUUCAAGUCCGGUCCCGGGCACCA
rnacentral:tRNA from 1 species